GGUAACUUACAAGAUUAAAAUUAAUUUGGUUGCUGAUGGUUCUGAACAAAUACAGUUUUUUUAUUUGAGGUAUACCAUUUUGAAGACUGCAACAUUGGAAUUUUAUCAUUGAAGAUAAAGGAAAUCUUUGGGGAAGUCUGUAUUUUAUAUAGCAAAAAUGUGUGAAUCCCCAGACUGAAUACUCUAAAGGGCCUGUACAAAGUAGUAGACACUGGUGGAAGCAUUUACACCCAGUCAGCUUGAAGAGUCUCAAAUGGACCGUACCACUGAGAAAUCAAGAUGGCAGUCCACUAUGGGGAAUUGAGGAGAAUGGAUUAAUACAAGAGUGCUGUGAUAAUAUGCAACCAAGACAGGGUUCUUUUAACAUGGAUUCCAUGAAAUGAAUGAAGACAUAGGUUUCUUACCCAACAUAAAUGGACAGUGGAUUUGACUUUCCAAAGACUUUUUGUAUCAUUAAAACAAGUACAUUUUUGACAUUUGAAGAAGAAGGAUGGCACAUUAACACAGAUGAUAGUUUGUAUGCCUGGAAUUUUUUGCCAUUUGAUUUGUAUGAUUAUUACCUCGUGGAAUGUUAAUUUUAAUAAAAUUUCUCUAACACUUUAAAA